rnacentral:rRNA from 1 species
GAGGAGCCCGCGUCCGAUUAGCUAGUUGGUGGGGUAAUGGCCUACCAAGGCGACGAUCGGUAGCCGGCCUGAGAGGGCGGACGGCCACACUGGAACUGAGACACGGUCCAGACUCCUACGGGAGGCAGCAGUGGGGAAUUGUUCACAAUGGGCGCAAGCCUGAUGACGCAACGCCGCGUGGGGGAUGAAGGUCUUCGGAUUGUAAACCCCUGUCGAGCGGGACGAAUGGCCCGCGCUUUAACAUGGCGCGGGAAUGACGGUACCGCUAAAGGAAGCCACGGCUAACUCUGUGCCAGCAGCCGCGGUAAUACAGAGGUGGCAAGCGUUGUUCGGAAUUACUGGGCGUAAAGGGCGCGUAGGCGGCCAUCUAAGUCAGACGUGAAAUCCCCCGGCUUAACCUGGGAACUGCGUCUGAUACUGGACGGCUCGAGUUUGGGAGAGGGAUGCAGAAUUCCAGGUGUAGCGGUGAAAUGCGUAGAUAUCUGGAGGAAUACCGGUGGCGAAGGCGGCAUCCUGGACUAACACUGACGCUGAGGCGCGAAAGCUAGGGGAGCAAACGGGAUUAGAUACCCCGGUAGUCCUAGCCCUAAACGAUGAAUGCUUGGUGU